rnacentral:rRNA from 2 species
GGACGAACGCUGGCGGCAUGCCUAAWACAUGCAAGUCGAACGAGCUUCCGUUGAAWGASGKGCUUGCACUGAUUUMAACAAUGAAGCGAGUGGCGAACUGGUGAGUAACACGUGGGGAAUCUGCCCAGAAGCAGGGGAUAACACUUGGAAACAGGUGCUAAUACCGUAUAACAACAAAAUCCGCAUGGAUUUUGUUUGAAAGGUGGCUUCGGCUAUCACUUCUGGAUGAUCCCGCGGCGUAUUAGUUAGUUGGUGAGGUAAAGGCCCACCAAGACGAUGAUACGUAGCCGACCUGAGAGGGUAAUCGGCCACAUUGGGACUGAGACACGGCCCAAACUCCUACGGGAGGCAGCAGUAGGGAAUCUUCCACAAUGGACGAAAGUCUGAUGGAGCAAUGCCGCGUGAGUGAAGAAGGGUUUCGGCUCGUAAAACUCUGUUGUUAAAGAAGAACACCUUUGARAGUAACUGUUCAAGGGUUGACGGUAUUUAACCAGAAAGCC